rnacentral:rRNA from 1 species
CAGUAGCCACGGUAAUACGUAGAGGGCAAGCGUUAUCCGGAAUUACUGGGUGUAAAGGGAGCGUAGACGGUUAAACAAGUCUGAAGUGAAAUGCCGGGGCUCAACCCCGGAGCUGCUUUGGGAACUGUAGAACUGGAGUGUCGGAGGGGUAAGCGGAAUUCCCAGUGUAGCGGUGAAAUGCGUAGAUAUUGGGAGGAACACCGGCGGCGAAGGCGGCUUACUGGACGACAACUGACGUUGAGGCUCGAAGGCGUGAGUAGCAAACAGGAUUAGAUACCCCCGUAGUCCCUGUCUCUUAUAC